rnacentral:lncRNA from 1 species
GGGUAUCGAAGAAGAUUAUCACAUUUUCUUCCAUCGACCUGCCACCUAAGAUUCUUCACAUCUUCUUUAACAUAAAACAAUCGUUUCAACCUCGGUACUAUAGGUAAAUACCACACGACCUUAGCCGGUGGACCUUCAUAUCGAUCUCUAUACAAUACACAGUCAUUGGGACAUGCGUGUAUCUUUUGGUAUUCCAAACCCAUUGGACAUAGAAUUUUCUUCGAGUCGUAAUUACGUAUAUGUAACGUGUUAUUUUCUGGAAGCAUCUCCUUAAGUAACUCCAAUAAUUUCGUGAAACUUUUAUCAGUCCAUCCGUUUCUUGCUUUCAAACAAAACCAUUUCGAAGUAGCCG